rnacentral:lncRNA from 1 species
GUGUCAGAGUGAAGAUCCGAGCUGGAGCUGAUGGACCUUCACCUCGGGAACCUGCUGAAGAAGAGGCUGCUCCUCUCCCUCUGCCUCUGCUACUGCCCUGAGUCAUGGCUGGAGCUGCUGGCUGAGCCAUACUGCCUGGAGCUGUCUGCUGGGACGGUGCCAUGAAAGGCGCCCUUGGACACUCUCGAGCCAUGUGUCCCUCCUGCCCACACCUGAAGCAGGCUGUAGUCCCAAAUCGACACACUCCCUU